GAAUUAAAGUGACAAAUUUGAUCCUUCGUUGUACUAAAAACUAUUCAACUGAAAUAAGCAUAGCAUGAGGUUUUUCACAAUAUAAAGUGAUCAAACAAUUUUGUAUUUGUUGCAUGCAAAGGUAGAGUAAAAAAUGGCUAAAACUCUCAAGGUUUUUUAUACAGUGAUCCUUUUUGUGUUCCUAUUUCUUUGUCUAGUCGAUGGUGGUGCUACACCAUGUAAGUCAAACUUCGAUUGUCUAGAUUUCGGAUGUCCCCUUAAACAUUGUGGAGUUUGUGUAAAUGGUUUUUGUAAGUGCUCUUUCGGGUUAAGGUUAAAUUCAACAUGAUCAAGACAAGCAAUCAAUGGAGGUUUUCUUGCGGAACUGAAGUACUAGAGGCUUGUACUUCACUUUAUUUUAAGAAUUUUUUUUACUGUCGUUGAUUUUGUGCUAUGGGUAGAGAUCUUGGAACUUCAAUAAUAUCUUUUGAAUGAGUUACUCUAUUUAAUAAUUGUUUGUAUUGUUUAAGAUUUAGUGUUUACACUUGCUUUAAUUUUUAGUUUUCAAUGUUAUGAGUUA